rnacentral:rRNA from 1 species
UGUGCCCUUGAGGCGUGGCUUCCGGAGCUAACGCGUUAAGUCGACCGCCUGGGGAGUACGGCCGCAAGGUUAAAACUCAAAUGAAUUGACGGGGGCCCGCACAAGCGGUGGAGCAUGUGGUUUAAUUCGAUGCAACGCGAAGAACCUUACCUGGUCUUGACAUCCACGGAAGUUUUCAGAGAUGAGAAUGUGCCUUCGGGAACCGUGAGACAGGUGCUGCAUGGCUGUCGUCAGCUCGUGUUGUGAAAUGUUGGGUUAAGUCCCGCAACGAGCGCAACCCUUAUCCUUUGUUGCCAGCGGUCCGGCCGGGAACUCAAAGGAGACUGCCAGUGAUAAACUGGAGGAAGGUGGGGAUGACGUCAAGUCAUCAUGGCCCUUACGACCAGGGCUACACACGUGCUACAAUGGCGCAUACAAAGAGAAGCGACCUCGCGAGAGCAAGCGGACCUCAUAAAGUGCGUCGUAGUCCGGAUUGGAGUCUGCAACUCGACUCCAUGAAGUCGGAAUCGCUAGUAAUCGUGGAUCAGAAUGCCACGGUGAAUACGUUCCCGGGCCUUGUACACACCGCCCGUCACACCAUGGGAGUGGGUUGCAAAAGAAGUAGGUAGCUUAACCUUCGGGAGGGCGCUUACCACUUUGUGAUUCAUGACUGGGGUGAAGUCGUAACAAGGUAACCGUAGGGGAACCUGCGGUUGGAUCACCUCCUUACCUUAAAGAAGC